GAUGAACGCUGGCUACAGGCUUAACACAUGCAAGUCGAGGGGAAACGACGGGGAAGCUUGCUUCCCCGGGCGUCGACCGGCGCACGGGUGAGUAACGCGUAUCCAACCUGCCUCUGACUGAGGGAUAACCCGUCGAAAGUCGGCCUAAUACCUCAUGGCAUCGUCUGCGGGCAUCCAACGACGAUUAAAGAUUUCAUCGGUCAGAGAUGGGGAUGCGUCUGAUUAGCUUGUUGGCGGGGUAACGGCCCACCAAGGCGACGAUCAGUAGGGGUUCUGAGAGGAAGGUCCCCCACAUUGGAACUGAGACACGGUCCAAACUCCUACGGGAGGCAGCAGUGAGGAAUAUUGAUCAAGGGGCGAGAGCCUGAACCAGCCAAGUAGCGUGCAGGAUGACGGCCCUAUGGGUUGUAAACUGCUUUUAUGCGGGGAUAAAGUGAGGGACGUGUCCUUCAUUGCAGGUACCGAAUGAAUAAGGACCGGCUAAUUCCGUG
rnacentral:rRNA from 1 species